rnacentral:rRNA from 1 species
UACGUAGGGAGCAAGCGUUGUUCGGAUUUACUGGGCGUAAAGGGCGCGUAGGCGGCAUAUUAAGUCAUCUGUGAAAUCUCCGAGCUUAACUCGGAACUGUCAGCUGAUACUGAUGUGCUAGAGUGCGGAAGGGGCAAUCGGAAUUCUUGGUGUAGCGGUGAAGUGCGUAGAUAUCAAGAGGAACACCUGAGGUGAAGACGGGUUGCUGGGCCGACACUGACGCUGAGUGCGCGAAAGCCAGGGGAGCAAACGGG